rnacentral:lncRNA from 1 species
GGGGAUUGAGUUUUGACGAAUUUUGAAAACAAGAACAAACUUUGUAAAUUGAACAGAUUCUAAAACGAAUUUGGUAAAAAUGAAUGGAUGGAAAGAUAGCUAAGGGGUUCUUCUCCACACAUGUCACACUUGCAUACAAAACGAUUUCCAAUUGCUUCUCAAUAAACCAUGAAUUCCCAACACCCCAGAUUAACCGUGAAUUGCACUAAUUAACCCUCAGAUUUUCCUUAAGUUAU